rnacentral:rRNA from 1 species
GACAGAGGGUGCUAGCGUUGUUCGGAAUUACUGGGCGUAAAGGGCGCGUAGGCGGCCCGUUUAGUCGGGUGUGAAAUCCCGGGGCUCAACCCCGGAACUGCACUCGAUACUGGCGGGCUUGAGACCGGAAGAGGUGGGUGGAAUACCCAGUGUAGAGGUGAAAUUCGUAGAUAUUGGGAGGAACACCGGUGGCGAAGGCGGUUCUCUGGGCCUGUGCUGACGCUGAGGAGCGAAAGCGUGGGGAGCGAACAGG